rnacentral:rRNA from 1 species
GCUACCUCUUACCCAUGUCUUUUGAGUACUUACGUUUCCUCGGCGGGUCCGCCCGCCGAUUGGACAAAAUUAAACCCUUUGCAGUUGCAAUCAGCGUCUGAAAAACAUAAUAGUUACAACUUUCAACAACGGAUCUCUUGGUUCUGGCAUCGAUGAAGAACGCAGCGAAAUGCGAUAAGUAGUGUGAAUUGCAGAAUUCAGUGAAUCAUCGAAUCUUUGAACGCACAUUGCGCCCCUUGGUAUUCCAUGGGGCAUGCCUGUUCGAGCGUCAUUUGUACCUUCAAGCUUUGCUUGGUGUUGGGUGUUUGUCUCGCCUUUGCGUGUAGACUCGCCUCAAAACAAUUGGCAGCCGGCGUAUUGAUUUCGGAGCGCAGUACAUCUCGCGCUUUGCACUCAUAACGACGACGUCCAAAAGUACAUUUUUACACUCUUGACCUCGGAUCAGGUAGGGAUACCCGCUGAACUUAAGCAUAUCAAUAAGCGGAGG